CACGGCAAAAGUUUUUUUGCAUAUCCUGCACAGUUUCAGUUCUCGCAGAGUACGCAAAAAAACAAUUGAGUAUUUAC
rfam:Bombyx mori DNA, contig: Bm_scaf48_contig25810, strain: p50T/Dazao, build 2, whole genome shotgun sequence.